AUGACAGUGAGCACUGUAUCUUCAGAGACAGAGGUGCAUAGGGUCUUCUUAUCUGAAGGGGAGGCUCAGCCUAGGACUCCAGCACAUGACCUCACUUCCUUGGUGACAGGUCCAAACAGACCUUGGAACCCUGUCACCAGGCACCACGGUCUAGCGCCAACUGCCCUCCCAGUCACUUGGCUGGAAAUAGGCAGCAGCGAACAUGCUGUGCUGCUUUCCCAGGCCUCCAGGCCGCAGCCUCGGACCCCACGCAGGGAAACCACUUGCCAACGAGUGAGAGGAUGGUUCACUCGGCCCAGAAGCUUCAGGACCCUCAUCAGGAACCACCCAACAGUCACGGGCAGCCCAGGGCAGGUCUCACCAGACCCAGCCCCCAGAUGCCCAGAGACGAGAGAGAGCCCAGGGCAGGUGUCCCGAGGCCUGACUUUCAUCUGCUCAGAGGCACCGAAUCCACUACAGGUCUAUGUAGACCUGGACACCACUAUUGGACAUCAAUCGGCCGAGAGCCCGGCAGAGGUCUGCAGAGUGAACACAGUGCGGGCAGGGGCACCCCACACCCUGACGGAGCCGCUGGAGAAGGCCUUCCUGGACAGGAAGAGCAGAUUUUUAUGGAACAUCAGCCAUGUGCCCUUGGGUGCAAGAACACAGCAGAUACCUAUUCCCGUCCUCAUGGAGCUGACCUGCCAGUGGAGAGACCCUCUCCCAGACAGCAACAACGCCUCUGCUGUAAGACUGAAGAAUGAAAGAAGGGUGGUGGUUUCAUUUUACAAAGUCAAAGGAGUUUUCUCAAAAAGGAAGAAGGGAAGUUAUCUGUGAGGAUGGGCAGGUGUGUCUAUAUGUGUGUUUGUGUGUGUGUGUGUGUGUGUGUGUCUAUGUGUGAGAAAUGCAGAAUCUUCAGAUCAAGCUAAGCAAGAAGAGAAGUAAAGAGAGAACCAAGUAGUUGGGAGGAAGUGGUGGAUUCAAUAAUCUAGAAAUUUUGAGGGUGUCAAAUUUCUUCAUCUUGCUAAAGAAAUUAGAAAACCCAAAAGAAACAAGAAAGAAGGAAAGAAAACUGAGCAAGAGAGGAGUUUCUGGUAAGAGAAUAAGGACAAUCUCUGUUGAUCAGAUGAGGAAAUGAAUGAAUGGUGCCAGAGUUAAUGGUUGAGUCUCCCUCAAAUUUCACUGUUGCAGCCCAGUCUCCAGGGUGAUGGUGUUUGUGGGGGAGGGGAGGCUUUGGG
rnacentral:lncRNA from 1 species